CUUUCUCCCUGCUAAUAUCUUUUUCUCUGUAUUUGCAAGAAGAAAGAAACUAUGAAAAUGAACUGUUUUAUUUUACAAUUAAACUCAAUAUAUAGUAUCAAGAAGGAUUUUUUGGAAAAAGAUUCUGCAUCUUAACAUAUUUACUGUUUCUGAAUUCUAGUGUACGUGGAUGUAUUUGCUGUGGAAAUAUUCUUUCUGAGACCUGAAUCUCAUCUAUUUUCAGUAAUAGUCAUUUCUGCAUUUUGGUAAUAGAUGAAUGUAUAUGUUGUUGUUGCUUUAAAGUUCUUACUUACCUGCAUUUUCUCUUUAAGGGAACAUAGAUCUUUUAAAUUCUAAGCUAGUUGUCUCCACAGCUGAAGGUGAUAUCUGCUAAAGCUGUUAAUAAAUUUUGUCUGGUUAAGAUUUUCUUCCUAUUUUAAGUGAUUAUCAUCAUGUGUUAAAACUUAAAGCUGUUUUAUCCCUCUUUUUAUUUUUUGUUUUUUGCAGUGCUGGAGAUCCAACCAGUCUCCCACAGCUAGGCAAGCACUCUACCACUGAGCCCAGAAAAUGUGAUAGUAUUUAAAUCUUAGGACCUAUACAUGUUUGAUUAUGUGGACCUUAUGUAUUUUAUGUUUCCUUUGUUUAUUAUAGUGAGUAUCAAGGAGUGAGGUGAUUGUGAACUCCAGCUGUGCAGGCUGGACAGUUGACUAUUCAAAAGGAAGAUGCAAAGAAUGCUAUAAAGUGGCCAUUUUAUUGGACUUUAAAAAUAUCAAAAGAAAUGAGGAAAAAUUAAUCACAGCUACAUAUAAAAAUUAAGGAGA
rnacentral:lncRNA from 1 species